CCUAAGGCCCAAAGAACAGAGAGGAAGAGGGCGUGACAGAGAGUGUGAGCUGGAGGCAGAGAAUCCAGAAGCUGGGGACAGUGAGCACAGUUCUGAGGUCCUAGGCUCCAGGACUCCCAAGGCAGCACCAAGGCCGACUAGUGGGUCAUCUCUGGAACUCGUCUAUUCCCAAGCCUACUGAGCUUUGCUGUCUGGGGAAGACGCCAUUGGUCCAGGAAAACAAACCCCCCAGAGGAGUCAGGAUGCGGCCUCACCACUACCACAUACUUGCAACUGGCGAAGCGGACGAGUCCAUCUGAAAAGAGGUAAAUCCGCAGAGGAUCGUAGGAGGUGACGUAAACAUAGAUUCGCAGAUCAAACUUGCUGCCGCUAAUGAGGUAGGGUUUGUGUAGAUACCUACACGAGGAAAGGCCAGCUUCAGGGACAUGACCAAUGAGACAGGGCUCAGGACAAAAUGGCAAAAGCAGCGAGCAGUCCCUGGGAUAAAGACCUUAAAACAUUUGGCGAAGGAGGUCUUUGGCUGGGAGGACACAGGACAGAAGAACACUAUAAACAGUGAAUCUCCAGGUUGAGGAGAUGGGAGAAUGGGGAGCCAGAUGUGAGCUAGAGACAGGCUCACCUCUGUACCAGGAGAGGCCUUCGCUUGGGGAGCUGACUCCACUUGUGAAUGACCUGGAUGCCGAUGCCUCGAGCUGACGCUGGCUAGAAAUCAAGUGGAAAGGAGACGAGAUGUGCUCCCGGCCCAAUACACCACUGUUCCCCAUUUUUUCCUACCACCCACUGUGAUCCACUCACCGGCUUAACAAUCCACUUUUGGCGGCUGCUGCUCUCCCAAGCUUUGCGCAGGAGCUUGGCAUCCUGAGGCAGGAUGAAGGACUGGGGGAAGAAGCUGAACUCCUUCUUGCCAAAGCGGCUCUGCAUGCGAGACAGGUUCCGCCACAGUCGGUCCUUUCGCCCAAUCUGGAAUGAACCUGGGAAGUGGUUUAGCUACAGAAGGGACAAAGGGUGAGAGCAGGGGGAUGGCCCUGGUGAGGCCACGAGGAAGAGAGCAAGACUCAUGGUACCGUUCCAAUUUCCUUAAAUGACAGCAUGAGCCCUUGAUCCAUCUUACCAUCACCAUCUAAUGGUAAGUACUCAGUUACAUAAGUACCAAAAGAUGACGAAAGCACACACAAAACACACCAAAAUGUAGUGCUCUCAAGGAGUUGAUAGUUCACGAACAGCCGUAC